UACGGAGGGGGCUAGCGUUGUUCGGAAUUACUGGGCGUAAAGCGCACGUAGGCGGCUGUGUAAGUUAGAGGUGAAAGCCUGGAGCUCAACUCCAGAAUUGCCUUUAAGACUGCAUCGCUUGAAUCAUGGAGAGGCGGGUGGAAUUCCGAGUGUAGAGGUGAAAUUCGUAGAUAUUCGGAAGAACACCAGUGGCGAAGGCGGCCCGCUGGACAUGUAUUGACGCUGAGGUGCGAAAGCGUGGGGAGCAAACAGG
rnacentral:rRNA from 1 species